AUGAUUCAAUCUUUUCUCUUACAAUUUCUAAAAAAAUCAAAAUAUUUAAAUCAAAUAAGAGAAAAAUUGUCAAGUAAAUUCAAGUUAAAAGUAGAAAACAUA
rnacentral:tRNA from 1 species